rnacentral:rRNA from 1 species
UACGUAGGGUGCGAGCGUUGUCCGGAAUUAUUGGGCGUAAAGGGCUCGUAGGCGGUUUGUCGCGUCGGGAGUGAAAACGCCGUGCUUAACACGGCGCUUGCUUUCGAUACGGGCAGACUAGAGGUAUGCAGGGGAGAACGGAAUUCCUGGUGUAGCGGUGAAAUGCGCAGAUAUCAGGAGGAACACCGGUGGCGAAGGCGGUUCCCUGGGCAUUACCUGACGCUGAGGAGCGAAAGUGUGGGGAGCGAACAGG